AAAACUAUACUUUCAGGGAACAUUUCUACAGUAUAUAACUAGAGAAGUUUCUCUGAUCAUGUAGCACCCGAAGCCAUGAGGAGGAGCCAGAGUGUCCUCUUCUGAGUGUGAAGCCAGGUCUAGGUGUCGCUUCUGCAGCUGCCUUUGGCCAUUGAUGAUCGUUCUUCCUUUCCUCUGGAAGGGGUAGAGCAGGGGUCUCAAUCUAGCGGC